rnacentral:rRNA from 1 species
UACGUAGGGUGCAGGCGUUAAUCGGAAUUACUGGGCGUAAAGAGCUCGUAGGCGGUUUGUCGCGUCUGCUGUGAAAACUCGGGGCUUAACUCCGGGCCUGCAGUGGGUACGGGCAGACUAGAGUGCGGUAGGGGAGACUGGAAUUCCUGGUGUAGCGGUGAAAUGCGCAGAUAUCAGGAGGAACACCGGUGGCGAAGGCGGGUCUCUGGGCCGUAACUGACGCUGAGGAGCGAAAGCGUGGGGAGCGAACAGG